rnacentral:snRNA from 1 species
AUACUUAUCUGGACGGGGUGAUCAAUAAGACCUAUGGCCUAGGCUGGUGACUUCCAUUGCACUUUGGAAGGGUGGAAGCCUAAGGUCGGCCCAAGUGGGCGUUGGUCCCAUUCAGGUGUUUGUUUGGAAUGAAUUUUCUUUGCAAA